UUGCCUUGUAGCUCAGUUGGUAGAGCAUGAGACUCUUAAAUCUCAGGCUCAUGGCAUCAAGCCCUACGUCGGGCAAA